rnacentral:tRNA from 1 species
GCUUUUAUAGUUUAAAUAAAAUAUUGGUCUUGUAAAUCAAAGUUAAGUUAUUAUAUUUUAAAAGCU